rnacentral:sRNA from 1 species
AGAAAAGUAGGUGCUGCCCCGCACAGGGGCGACGCAUGCAGACCGACGCGAAAACAAGGAAACGCGCAAGAGCAGGCACACCACCAAAAGCCCACGCCACCGCGUAACCGAA